UACAUGAUUGAGAAAGGCAAGAUUGUUUUUCUAAAUAUUUUUCCAGCAUGUAGUGCUAUGACUUACUUUUUCCAGGACGAAUCAGCGUUAAAACAUUAAGCAAGAAAGCUAAGAAGGAGCUCAGUCGUGAACAGAGGAAGCACAGAUCAAAGCAAAUUCGUGCAUUUAAAAAGGAGGCAGCUAUUCUACGUAAGCGUGGCUUGGGCACUGCUAACAACCCUCCCUUCCUUGCGACAGUUGUGCCCCUAUGCCCUAAUAUUAACCCCAGGAAGGUAUUAAAAACUCUAGCAGCAUGUGAUAAAGCUGCCACCAUCACCACCAGCUCUCAGGGCAUCAUGCAUAUAAGUUGCCCGCGCUUCAGACAAAGAUUCUCCUUUGUUGUACCACCAGUGAAUGAUCUGUAUGCAGUACUAGAUAGUGUAAAG